CGCGGAAUAGAGAAGUAGUUAUCUCGUUGCCCUCAUAAGGCAAAAAUCGGGGGUGCAAAUCCCUCUUCCGUAACCA
rnacentral:tRNA from 1 species